rnacentral:rRNA from 1 species
GACGAACGCUGGCGGCGUGCCUAAUACAUGCAAGUCGAGCGAAAAGACGAGGAUCUUGCUCCGUUGACGAUAGCGGAGGACGGGUGAGAAACACGUGUAUAACCUACUUAAAAGACUGAGAUAACUACGGGACACCGGAGCUAAUACCGGAGAAUAUCUUGCACCGUAUGGUUGAAUAGUGAAAGACGGCUUUGCGGUCUCGUAUAGCUGGAUCUGCGCCGUAUUAGCUGGUUGGUAAGUUAACGGCUUACCAAGGCAACGAUGCGUGGCCGACCUGUUAGGGUGAUAGGCCACACUGGAACUUAGACACGGUCCAGACGCCUACGGGAGGCAGCAGUAGGGAAUCUUCCGCAAUAGGCGAAAGCCUUACGGAGCAACGCCGCGUGAGUGAUGAAGAUCUUCGGUUCGUAAAACUCGGUUAUUAGGGGAGAACAAAUUUGUAAUUAGCUGUGCACGUCUUGACGGUACCUAAUCAGAAAGCCACGGCUAACUACGUG